CCUACGGGCGGCAGCAGUGGGGAAUAUUGGACAAUGGGCGAAAGCCUGAUCCAGCCAUGCCGCGUGUGUGAAGAAGGCCUUCGGGUUGUAAAGCACUUUCAGUGGGGAAGAAAGCCUUGGGGCUAAUACCCUCGAGGAAGGACAUCACCCACAGAAGAAGCACCGGCUAACUCCGUGCCAGCAGCCGCGGUAAUACGGAGGGUGCGAGCGUUAAUCGGAAUUACUGGGCGUAAAGCGCGCGUAGGCGGUCUGAUAAGCCGGUUGUGAAAGCCCCGGGCUCAACCUGGGAACGGCAUCCGGAACUGUCAGGCUAGAGUGCAGGAGAGGAAGGUAGAAUUCCCGGUGUAGCGAUGAAAUGCGUAGAGAUCGGGAGGAAUACCAGUGGCGAAGGCGGCCUUCUGGACUGACACUGACGCUGAGGUGCGAAAGCGUGGGUAGCAAACAGGAUUAGAUACCCUAGUAGUC
rnacentral:rRNA from 1 species